rnacentral:rRNA from 1 species
CCUAUCAACUUUCGAUGGUAGGAUAGUGGCCUACCAUGGUAUCAACGGGUAACGGGGAAUUAGGGUUCUAGUCCGGAGAGGGAGCCUGAGAAACGGCUACCACAUCCAAGGAAGGCAGCAG